rnacentral:lncRNA from 1 species
GAUGCUCUUGUUACGCAAGUAUUUAAAGCCAAAUAUUUUUUGAAUGAUCAUUUUUUAGAAUCUCGUUUAGGUGAUUCUGGUUCUUAUGUGUGGAAAAGUAUUUGGGCAGCGAAAGCUACGUUGGCAAAGGGACUAUGCUGGAGGGCUGGUACGGGUAUGAAUAUAUCGAUCAAUGAUGAUGCGUGGAUUCCAAAUGCAGUUAAUUUCAGAUUAUCUACUACGAUUAAUUAUAUGCGUAAUGUUAAAGUUAAUGAGCUAAUUGACAGUAAUAGAUUGUAGAAAAGAGAGUUGAUGAAGGAUAACUUCGCAGAAGAAGACGCUGAAAGAAUUCUCCGAAUCCCUUUGGCACGAACACUUGAUGAUGACUUCCUUAUCUGGGGGAGUGAAUCGUCGGGUGAAUUCUCGGUUCAAAGUGCCUAUAAACUAUUACAGAGUUGUGAUGAAAACUCUAGAGCUUAUGCUUUACAAACCAUCUACAGGAAUUUUUACAAAAAGCUUUGGACUUUGCAUUUACCAACAAAAAUAAAGAUUACAAUCUGGAGAUUCUCAUGGAAUUAUCUACCUACGAAAGUAAAUAUGCAGUACAUGAAGCUAGCAACUGAUACAAUUUGUCCCAGGUGUGGUGAAAGAGCUAAAACAAUGGACCACUUAUUUCGAGAAUGCCCUGUUAUAGUGGAAGCAUGGACAGCAUUGACAUUACAGCAUAUUGUAAGGAUACAAAACAUGGACUUUGUACAGUGGCUUACCUGGGUGUUUAAUCAGCUAACCCCUUGUCAAUGCUGCCUCUUCUGCUGCGCAAUCUGGGCCAUAUGGGGAGACCGAAAUAAACGAAUACAUGAGAAAACAGUUAGUACUAUGAAGGAUAUUGCAAAGUUCAUCAAUAGUUACAUAAAUGAAUUUAAUGGUUUCGAAAAAAGAGAGUUAGAAAAAACAACAGAACCCAAUAGAUGGAGACACCCAACUGGCGAGUUCAUAAAGAUUAACUUCGACGGUGCUUACAAUGAAGGUCAAAAUUGUUCGGCUUCAGGUAUCGUGGCUCGAGAUGCGGAUGGGACAGUUCUUCUAUCCUACUCCGAGAUCCACCAAGGUAUUGCCUCUGCAUUUGUUGCUGAAGCCAUAGCCUGUUGGAAAGUGGUACAAAUUGGAAUCGCAAAGGGAUGGCAGUCAAUCAUAGUCGAAGGAGACUCACUCGCAAUAAUAUAGAAAUGCAACACAGAAGGUCAAGAUCGGUCAUUGAUAGGAGCAUAUAUAUAUGAUAUCAAACAGCAAAUAAAGGAACCCAUUAAUAUCACUUUCAAGCACAUAUUGAGAUCUGCUAAUACUAUUGCACACAUUUUGGCAACAGUAACUCUAAGAAGAAAGGAAGAAAUAUACCUGGAAAGGGCAGUCUCUGAGAACGCUGAAGAACAAAUGAGACGCGAAUGGGAGCAUGAACCAGAUUAGGGAGUUUCUCAGUGGAACAGAGAGAAGAAGAGGAAGCUUCAAAACAAAAGAAAAUGAAACGUUCUAAGAGGAAAAAGCUUUCGUCAAAAAAGAAAUGAAAUGAUGGACUGAUGGGAUGACAGAUUUCAGAGAACCUGAUUGGGCAUUGGUUCGACGCAAUAAAUGCUAUUUUAGACUAUUCUAUUAUAAUAUCUAGAUUUUUUUUCUGGCCAUUUGAAUUCUUUAGGAUCG